UUGGGGAAUCUUCCGCAAUGGACGAAAGUCUGACGGAGCAACGCCGCGUGAGUGAUGAAGGUCUUCGGAUUGUAAAGCUCUGUUAAUCGGGACGAAAGAGCCUAGUGUGAAUAAUGCUAGGAAGUGACGGUACCGGAAUAGAAAGCCACGGCUAACUACGUGCCAGCAGCCGCGGUAAUACGUAGGUGGCAAGCGUUGUCCGGAAUUAUUGGGCGUAAAGCGCGCGCAGGCGGAUCUGCCAGUCUGUCUUAAAAGUUCGGGGCUUAACCCCGGGAUGGGAUGGAAACUACAGAUCUAGAGUAUCGGAGAGGAAAGUGGAAUUCCUAGUGUAGCGGUGAAAUGCGUAGAUAUUAGGAAGAACACCAGUGGCGAAGGCGACUUUCUGGACGAAAACUGACGCUGAGGCGCGAAAGCCAGGGGAGCGAACGGGAUUAGAAACCCUUGUAGUCC
rnacentral:rRNA from 1 species